CUAAUGGCCGCUUCCAGGAAGGCUCCGUCACGUGGCACCUCUUAGCCUCGGCGCCCCAACUCCGGGAAGGGGCAGUUUCCAAUCGGAUACGCUCCACACGCACAUCCUUCCUUUGAAACCUUCAGCCCUCAAGAUCCGGAGAUAACCUGGAAGAUCCCAACAUCAUGACCUCAGUUUCAACACAGUUGUUCUUGGUCGUCAUUUCACUGCUUUUGGUGCUGCCGGUGGUUGAAGCAGUAGAAGCUGGAGAUGCAAUCGCUCUCCUGUUAGGUGUGGCUCUCAGCAUUACAGGCAUUUGUGCCUGUUUGGGCGUCUAUGCACGAAAGAGGAAUGGACAAAUGUGAUUUUGAUGGGCCUUCUGAAUCAGACCUUGCCCGGAAAACCUUUGUGUUAUUGAGGUUAAAAACUGAGCUUUAGUGUCUAGAAGAUCCCACGAAAUAGGGUAUUUUCACAUUCUUAAUUAUCUCCCUGUAAGUGGGAACAAAUUGAUACGUGUUCAGUGGUGGUGGGGGGGGGUUCAUCACAACAAAUAAUACACUGAAAAAAGUAGUCUAUAAUUCAUAUGUGCUAGUUAGAAAAAGGGUCAAAGAAGUCAGAUGACUGAAAUUUUCAUAUUAUUUCAUAGUUUCAGAGUUUUCAAAGUGAAAUAGGAAGAAGGAAACCCUUACCCAGAAUCCUAGGAAAUUGCCCGUGCCUCCUCCAUCACUGAGGAGUCUUUUCUCCACAUUUUUAUUAGUUUUUCGUUCUGUUAUCUCCCAAAUUAAUGUUGUAUUUAGAUAUUAAAUACAGUCAGUCAGAGAUUAAAAUUUUUAUUUCUUGGGGGAGAAGUAAGAAAAAUGUAUUCAAUGUAUCUAAUAUUGAAAUGAAGAAAAUAUUUAAUGUAAAAAAGUUACUUUAUAUUGACAUUGAAAUGGAGACGAGAUUUAAUGUAAAAAAAAAAAGCUUUAUACUAACUGAGUUAACAUUUCCAUCAUGAGAAGUACUAUGUUAAAUAUAAACCCAUUAUGUUUUAAGUUAA
rnacentral:lncRNA from 1 species